rfam:Desulfuromonadaceae bacterium GWC2_58_13 gwc2_scaffold_5559, whole genome shotgun sequence.
GGUAUAAUAAUUACGGAUUAAGAGAUUUUUCGAGGAGGCUGGACGCAGCUUCCUUAUUUGCCCUGGACGACUUACCCUCCUGGUCUCCAGGGUUUUUUU